rnacentral:rRNA from 1 species
AGCGUACACGGUGGAUGCCCUGGCAGUCAGAGGCGAUGAAGGACGUGCUAAUCUGCGAUAAGCGUCGGUAAGGUGAUAUGAACCGUUAUAACCGGCGAUUUCCGAAUGGGGAAACCCAGUGUGUUUCGACACACUAUCAUUAACUGAAUCCAUAGGUUAAUGAGGCGAACCGGGGGAACUGAAACAUCUAAGUACCCCGAGGAAAAGAAAUCAACCGAGAUUCCCCCAGUAGCGGCGAGCGAACGGGGAGCAGCCCAGAGCCUGAAUCAGUGUGUGUGUUAGUGGAAGCGUCUGGAAAGGCGCGCGAUACAGGGUGACAGCCCCGUACACAAAAAUGCACAUGCUGUGAGCUCGAUGAGUAGGGCGGGACACGUGGUAUCCUGUCUGAAUAUGGGGGGACCAUCCUCCAAGGCUAAAUACUCCUGACUGACCGAUAGUGAACCAGUACCGUGAGGGAAAGGCGAAAAGAACCCCGGCGAGGGGAGUGAAAAAGAACCUGAAACCGUGUACGUACAAGCAGUGGGAGCACAGAGCAAUCUGUGUGACUGCGUACCUUUUGUAUAAUGGGUCAGCGACUUAUAUUCUGUAGCAAGGUUAACCGAAUAGGGGAGCCGAAGGGAAACCGAGUCUUAACUGGGCGUUAAGUUGCAGGGUAUAGACCCGAAACCCGGUGAUCUAGCCAUGGGCAGGUUGAAGGUUGGGUAACACUAACUGGAGGACCGAACCGACUAAUGUUGAAAAAUUAGCGGAUGACUUGUGGCUGGGGGUGAAAGGCCAAUCAAACCGGGAGAUAGCUGGUUCUCCCCGAAAGCUAUUUAGGUAGCGCCUCGUGAAUUCAUCUCCGGGGGUAGAGCACUGUUUCGGCAAGGGGGUCAUCCCGACUUACCAACCCGAUGCAAACUGCGAAUACCGGAGAAUGUUAUCACGGGAGACACACGGCGGGUGCUAACGUCCGUCGUGAAGAGGGAAACAACCCAGACCGCCAGCUAAGGUCCCAAAGUCAUGGUUAAGUGGGAAACGAUGUGGGAAGGCCCAGACAGCCAGGAUGUUGGCUUAGAAGCAGCCAUCAUUUAAAGAAAGCGUAAUAGCUCACUGGUCGAGUCGGCCUGCGCGGAAGAUGUAACGGGGCUAAACCAUGCACCGAAGCUGCGGCAGCGACGCUUAUGCGUUGUUGGGUAGGGGAGCGUUCUGUAAGCCUGCGAAGGUGUGCUGUGAGGCAUGCUGGAGGUAUCAGAAGUGCGAAUGCUGACAUAAGUAACGAUAAAGCGGGUGAAAAGCCCGCUCGCCGGAAGACCAAGGGUUCCUGUCCAACGUUAAUCGGGGCAGGGUGAGUCGACCCCUAAGGCGAGGCCGAAAGGCGUAGUCGAUGGGAAACAGGUUAAUAUUCCUGUACUUGGUGUUACUGCGAAGGGGGGACGGAGAAGGCUAUGUUGGCCGGGCGACGGUUGUCCCGGUUUAAGCGUGUAGGCUGGUUUUCCAGGCAAAUCCGGAAAAUCAAGGCUGAGGCGUGAUGACGAGGCACUACGGUGCUGAAGCAACAAAUGCCCUGCUUCCAGGAAAAGCCUCUAAGCAUCAGGUAACAUCAAAUCGUACCCCAAACCGACACAGGUGGUCAGGUAGAGAAUACCAAGGCGCUUGAGAGAACUCGGGUGAAGGAACUAGGCAAAAUGGUGCCGUAACUUCGGGAGAAGGCACGCUGAUAUGUAGGUGAGGUCCCUCGCGGAUGGAGCUGAAAUCAGUCGAAGAUACCAGCUGGCUGCAACUGUUUAUUAAAAACACAGCACUGUGCAAACACGAAAGUGGACGUAUACGGUGUGACGCCUGCCCGGUGCCGGAAGGUUAAUUGAUGGGGUUAGCGGUAACGCGAAGCUCUUGAUCGAAGCCCCGGUAAACGGCGGCCGUAACUAUAACGGUCCUAAGGUAGCGAAAUUCCUUGUCGGGUAAGUUCCGACCUGCACGAAUGGCGUAAUGAUGGCCAGGCUGUCUCCACCCGAGACUCAGUGAAAUUGAACUCGCUGUGAAGAUGCAGUGUACCCGCGGCAAGACGGAAAGACCCCGUGAACCUUUACUAUAGCUUGACACUGAACAUUGAGCCUUGAUGUGUAGGAUAGGUGGGAGGCUUUGAAGUGUGGACGCCAGUCUGCAUGGAGCCGACCUUGAAAUACCACCCUUUAAUGUUUGAUGUUCUAACGUUGACCCGUAAUCCGGGUUGCGGACAGUGUCUGGUGGGUAGUUUGACUGGGGCGGUCUCCUCCUAAAGAGUAACGGAGGAGCACGAAGGUUGGCUAAUCCUGGUCGGACAUCAGGAGGUUAGUGCAAUGGCAUAAGCCAGCUUGACUGCGAGCGUGACGGCGCGAGCAGGUGCGAAAGCAGGUCAUAGUGAUCCGGUGGUUCUGAAUGGAAGGGCCAUCGCUCAACGGAUAAAAGGUACUCCGGGGAUAACAGGCUGAUACCGCCCAAGAGUUCAUAUCGACGGCGGUGUUUGGCACCUCGAUGUCGGCUCAUCACAUCCUGGGGCUGAAGUAGGUCCCAAGGGUAUGGCUGUUCGCCAUUUAAAGUGGUACGCGAGCUGGGUUUAGAACGUCGUGAGACAGUUCGGUCCCUAUCUGCCGUGGGCGCUGGAGAACUGAGGGGGGCUGCUCCUAGUACGAGAGGACCGGAGUGGACGCAUCACUGGUGUUCGGGUUGUCAUGCCAAUGGCACUGCCCGGUAGCUAAAUGCGGAAGAGAUAAGUGCUGAAAGCAUCUAAGCACGAAACUUGCCCCGAGAUGAGUUCUCCCUGACUCCUUGA